rnacentral:rRNA from 1 species
UCGGGAAUUUUGGGCAAUGGGCGAAAGCCUGACCCAGCAACGCCGCGUGAGGGAUGAAGUAUUUCGGUAUGUAAACCUCGAAAGAAUGGGAAGAAUAAAUGACGGUACCAUUUAUAAGCUCCGGCUAACUACGUGCCAGCAGCCGCGGUAAUACGUAGGGAGCAAGCGUUGUUCGGAUUUACUGGGCGUAAAGGGCGCGUAGGCGGCGCGGUAAGUCACUUGUGAAAUCUCUGAGCUUAACUCAGAACGGCCAAGUGAUACUGCUGUGCUAGAGUGCGGAAGAGGCGACCGGAAUUCUUGGUGUAGCGGUGAAAUGCGUAGAUAUCAGGAGGAACACCUGAGGCGAAGGCGGGUUGCUGGGCCGACACUGACGCUGAUGCGCGAAAGCCAGGGGAGCAAACG